UGGAGAGGAGAGCGCUACCGAACAGGCGAAUAGGAGAAGGAAAAGAGGACAAAAUCCACUGAUCAGGGAGCAUAUCGAGGAAAAGAACACAUAAUCUAGUCUCACUGGCAUGUGUUAUCACCAUCUAUAGCUUUGGUGGAGGUCUGUGAAAGUUUCCAUCCUGGGGGGACACCCUCCCCUUGUUGUGGGGACGAACAGCGGAUGCUGAAUUUCAUUCCUGAAGGCAGGGGGAGAGCUGUGAGGACCGGCUGGAUUCACUUGCAUUGGAGCUGGUAGUGCGCACCAGAAGAGAUCCUACAGUCUCUCGUUCUCCCUUGUCUCUCAUAAACGCAUUUUCCAGUAGAAUACCUAACAUUGUUUAGCUCUGCCAAGGUGGAAUAUCAGGGAGAACCAGCCCAAAAGAAAUUAAUCUAAACCAAGGAACUAAAGGGUAAUGGAUUAUGCACAAAUUCACUGAAGGACAUCCUGCUCACAAAAAGUAAGUUCAAAUCAGAAAAGGCUUUUAAUUGGUUUCUGAUUUUAAAAGACUUGUGGGAUUUUUGCCCUUGUUGUGGAGCAGAACCAAUCGUAUCUCAUGACAGCUUGCGGACUAUAGGAUUCUGGAUAGUAUUUCAAGACUGAAUCUGUGUAGGCACCUUUCCACUAUCCUGCCAGCAAGCAGAAAUGUUCUUUGCCUCUAUUCCAGUAUGACCCUGGAGUAAGUGACCCGUGCAUAGAGUCACACUACACGUUUUCCACUGGGUUUCUGUGCUUCUACAACAGCUUAUGGACAUUUGAUAUUGGGAAGCUAACAAGGUA